UCGGACAUGGUGCACGGUGCACGCCUGCUCAGAUUGCUGCAUUCGAACGAACAAUACAAAGCAGGAGGCCUGGGUUUGACUCCCGGUGUCCGAA